GCUGCAAUAGCUCUAGUGGUAGAGUGUUGAACUCAUAAUCCAAGGGUCACAGGUUCGAUAUCUGCUGUACAGGCCA